UGGGGAAUCUUGGACAAUGGGGGCAACCCUGAUCCAGCCAUGCCGCGUGAGUGAUGAAGGCCUUAGGGUCGUAAAGCUCUUUCGCCUGUGAAGAUAAUGACGGUAGCAGGUAAAGAAACCCCGGCUAACUCCGUGCCAGCAGCCGCGGUAAUACGGAGGGGGUUAGCGUUGUUCGGAAUUACUGGGCGUAAAGCGCACGUAGGCGGACCAGAAAGUUGGGGGUGAAAUCCCGGGGGCUCAACCCCGGAACUGCCUCCAAAACUAUUGGUCUAGAGUUCGAGAGAGGUGAGUGGAAUUCCAAGUGUAGAGGUGAAAUUCGUAGAUAUUUGGAGGAACACCAGUGGCGAAGGCGGCUCACUGGCUCGAUACUGACGCUGAGGUGCGAAAAGUGUGGGGAGCAAAACAGGAUUAGAUACCCUGGUAGUCCACACCGUAAAACGAUGAAUGCCAGUCGUCGGGUAGCAUGCUAUUCGGUGACACACCUAACGGAUUAAGCAUUCCGCCUGGGGAGUACGGUCGCAAGAUU
rnacentral:rRNA from 1 species